GCAGGUUUGCUUAGAAAUUCCUUGUUGAAGAAUCGUCUUGCUUCAACAUUACUAAGAGAAACCGAGCAACGAGACGGAUUCUGUCUUCUGUAUUCAAUGCUUUCAACUAUGGCGUUCUUUAUCACCUGCAAAUAGAGGUGCCUGGCAUCAUGAUCAAUGUCUCUGGAGGACACAAGAUUUCUACUCUACAGAUAUAAUAUAUUCCCAACGUACCUGGUGCCUUGUAAUUUCUGAAGUUGAUGUUGGCCAGAACAAAGUGGAUGAUAGUUGGGCAAUCUUUCUCAACGUCAGGAUUCUUGGGUUUAAAGACAUA